rnacentral:rRNA from 1 species
AGUGAACGCUGGCGGUAGGCCUAACACAUGCAAGUCGAACGGCAGCACAGUAAGAGCUUGCUCUUACGGGUGGCGAGUGGCGGACGGGUGAGGAAUACAUCGGAAUCUACUUUUUCGUGGGGGAUAACGUAGGGAAACUUACGCUAAUACCGCAUACGACCUACGGGUGAAAGCAGGGGAUCUUCGGACCUUGCGCGAUUGAAUGAGCCGAUGUCGGAUUAGCUAGUUGGCGGGGUAAAGGCCCACCAAGGCGACGAUCCGUAGCUGGUCUGAGAGGAUGAUCAGCCACACUGGAACUGAGACACGGUCCAGACCCCUACGGGAGGCACCAGUGGGGAAUAUUGGACAAUGGGCGCAAGCCUGAUCCAGCCAUACCGGGUGGGUGAAGAAGGCCUUCGGGUUGUAAAGCCCUUUUGUUGGGAAAGAAAAGCAGCAGGUUAAUACCCCGCUGUUCUGACGGUACCCAAAGAAUAAGCACCGGCUAACUUCGU